UGAGGAAUAUUGCGCAAUGGGGGCAACCCUGACGCAGCGACGCCGCGUGAGUGAGGAAGGCCUUCGGGUCGUAAAGCUCUGUCAAAGGGAAAGAAGUGUGCAAUGGCUAAUACCUGUUGCAUUUGACGGUACCCUUAAAGGAAGCACCGGCUAACUCCGUGCCAGCAGCCGCGGUAAUACGGAGGGUGCAAGCGUUAUUCGGAAUUACUGGGCGUAAAGCGCGUGUAGGCGGCCCUGCAAGUCUGAUGUGAAAGCCAAGGGCUUAACCCGGGAAGGGCAUUGGAAACUGCAGGUCUUGAGUACUGGAGAGGAUGGGUGAAUUCCCGGUGUAGAGGUGAAAUUCGUAGAGAUCGGGAGGAAUAUCAGUGGCGAAGGCGACUUUCUGGCCCUAUACUGACGCUGAGACGCUAGAGCGUGGGUAGCAAACA
rnacentral:rRNA from 1 species